CAGAAGAAGAGGAAGAUGCAGCUGCACAAGAAGAGGAAGAUUCAGAUGCAGAAGAAGAGGAAGAUUCAAAUGCAGAAGAUGGUGGGCUGAGGAGGGCUAGGAAGAGACCAUUAGAGGUUGCAGAAGAGGAUUAUGCAAAACCAAACAAGUGGGCAUUACCACAAUUGUGCAUACUUAAACAUUUUUUGGAUGCUGGCUGCAGAUUCAUCUAUUUCAUUUUUUGUAGGAAACGCAAGGGCGCUCCAAAUGUCAAAGCUGGGAGGAAGGAAAAUAACGAUGACAAUGGUGCACGAGGAAAACCAAUGAAGAAAGACUCUAGGAAGGGCGGUAAAGAAUAGGCCAAAGGGGUGAUGAAGACAAAAAGGCCUGCUAGGAAUGUACCAAAGGUUGAGUGAAUAUGAGCUAUCAAGAAAGCUAAAGUGAAGUCGAGACAGGAUGUUUAGAUGCACAGGGUCAGG